rnacentral:rRNA from 1 species
UACGUAGGGUGCGAGCGUUAAUCGGAAUUACUGGGCGUAAAGCGUGCGCAGGCGGUGAUGUAAGACCGAUGUGAAAUCCCCGGGCUUAACCUGGGAACUGCAUUGGUGACUGCAUCGCUCGAGUAUGGCAGAGGGGGGUAGAAUUCCACGUGUAGCAGUGAAAUGCGUAGAGAUGUGGAGGAAUACCGAUGGCGAAGGCAGCCCCCCUGGGUCAAUACUGACGCUCAUGCACGAAAGCGUGGGGAGCAAACAGG